CUGAGUCACUUAAUGACAGGGAAGACUCCACAAGAAUCAUAUACCUUUUGGAAACUCGCCCAUGUUUUGCAGCGUAAAGUGGUCUCUCUAAAGCGUCUGAUGUCUCGGCUGACAUUAGCUUCCAUAGAGGGGAGUGUUCGCGGCGGAAAAAAACUAAAGCCGAAAAUACAUGG